UACGUAGGGUGCGAGCGUUGUCCGGAAUUAUUGGGCGUAAAGAGCUUGUAGGCGGUUUGUCGCGUCUGCUGUGAAAAUCCGGGGCUCAACCCCGGACUUGCAGUGGGUACGGGCAGACUAGAGUGUGGGUAGGGGAGACUGGAAGUUCCUGGUGUAGCGGUGAAAUGACGCAGAUAUCAGGAGGAACACCGAGUGGCGAAGGCAGGUCUCUGGGCCACUACUGA
rnacentral:rRNA from 1 species